rnacentral:lncRNA from 1 species
AUUCAAUUGAAUUAUAUACAGUAACUCAAAAUAAGGUAAUAUCUGAUUAGAUUAAGGAAUACUGUACAAAUUUGUAAUAAUUGUAUCCAUAUUUGUUUGUCUAGUAGAUCAUUUAAACUGAAGGUGAAUUGAGCCUUGUUCUGGAGCACAUAAUUAUUUAUUGAGAUACCCGUUAAACUUUUUACAAACAGAGGUUGGUGUUAAGCAUGAUUUUUGUCAUGCUGAGAAUUUGAUUCCACAUCGAUUUCUACAUUAUUUCUUUCAAGUUUCAUAAUGGAAUUGAAUGCCUACUGAACACUGGAAAAUGAGCCUUCACUUCUGUCUUCUAAUGAUUGAAUUUCAAAUGGUUCACACGUCACUCAGCCAGACACUGGGCAAGUCAAGCAACUCUACCAUCUGGACCAGGCAAAAAAGUGAUGGAAAGCAAUGAUACACUGCAAUUCAAACCAGAACACCACGCUUGAUUACUUCCUCCUGAUUUUAAUAAAGCAGCUAAACCUCAACUAAGAGAAUACUUG